UACGAAGGGGGCUAGCGUUGUUCGGAAUCACUGGGCGUAAAGCGCACGCAGGCGGAUUGUUAAGUCAGGGGUGAAAUCCUGGAGCUCAACUCCAGAACUGCCUUUGAUACUGGCGAUCUUGAGUCCGGGAGAGGUGAGUGGAACUGCGAGUGUAGAGGUGAAAUUCGUAGAUAUUCGCAAGAACACCAGUGGCGAAGGCGGCUCACUGGCCCGGUACUGACGCUGAGGUGCGAAAGCGUGGG
rnacentral:rRNA from 1 species